rnacentral:rRNA from 1 species
UACGGAGGAUCCAAGCGUUAUCCGGAUUCAUUGGGUUUAAAGGGUGCGUAGGCGGACUGAUAAGUCAGCGGUGAAAUCUCUCGGCUUAACCGAGAAACUGCCGUUGAUACUGUCAGUCUUGAGUACAGAUGAUGUGGGCGGAAUAUGACAUGUAGUGGUGAAAUACUUAGAUAUGUCAUAGAACACCGAUUGCGAAGGCAGCUCACAAAAACUGUCACUGGACGCUGAAGGCACGAAAAGCGUGGGGAUCAAACAGG